rnacentral:rRNA from 1 species
GUAGGAGGCGAGCGUUAUCCGGAUUUACUGGGCGUAAAGCGCGUGCAGGCGGUUUUCUAAGUCGGACGUGAAAGCUCCCGGCUCAACUGGGAGAGGUCGUUCGAAACUAGGAGACUUGAGGAUGGUAGAGGAGAGUGGAAUUCCCGGUGUAGUGGUGAAAUGCGUAGAUAUCGGGAGGAACACCAGUGGCGAAGGCGGCUCUCUGGGCCAUACCUGACGCUAAGACGCGAAAGCUAGGGGAGAGAACGGGAUUAGAAACCCCGGGUAUUCCUAGCCGUAAACGAUGUCAACUAGGUGUAGGGGGUAUCCCAACCCCCCCUGUGCUGCAGCAAACGCGAUAAGUUGACCGCCUGGGGACUACGGCCGCAAGGCUA